ACGUCUAACUAACUAGUAUGUUUACAUGCAUGGCAUAUCAGAUAAUUCUGUCUGUUCGGUCGCUGCGCAACGAAUGAAUAAAGAUCGUUAGCACUCUGAAAAACAGAUGACAGAUGUGCCCGAAGUUACUACUUUAUUACCUCGCUGAUGACCAACGUUUAGGAAAACAUGUACUUUUAAUUCACCCUUGGGUGAAAUCGAAGCGUAGUGUGUACUGAAUGCGUGUUGAUGAUGAUGCAUAUGAAUUGCAACUUACACGUCUUCCAAACCUUUUCAGUACCCUGGCACAUGCUUUGUCCAAUGGACCAUGGAAGGGACUUUACUUGGCUGACGAGGACGCACCUCACCAGUAUCAGAGCAACAGCUGUGGGGUGUUUAUGCUGCUGGGGGACAUGCUCUCUAUCAGGAGGUGGUGGUUGGACAGCUGUUGGAGACCUUUAUGCUUGAAAGGUUUAUAUACUGUGUCCAUGUUGCUAUUUACUUAUUUUUGGUGCUCACGAAGAUCGUAGCCAAUACACUUGUCUCUCUGUCUCUAGCCCUGCAGAACUAGCUGGCUCCUUCUCCCCCUCUCCAUCUCCCCAUCUCAGUCACACCUUCCAAUCACUAAGCAGUGAAAGCCCUGCAGGGCUAGCUGGCACACCAAGCUCACCCUCUCUAUCUCCCCAUCUCAGCCACACGCUCCAAUCUGGCACAACAGAUGACAGGCCAUUCUUACCACCCGAAGUCCUUCAGCAAAUUGUUCAAGAGACGCUGAGACUGGACAUGGCGAUGCUUGGCGUGUUCAACAGGGUUUCAAACACAUUCCGAGAACUAAUCAAGCCUCUCCAUCCUUCCAUAUAUAUAAAUGAGUUUGGCAGGGGACAUUAAGCUUAAUAAAGACAAUCUCAUAUGCAUAACGGUUAGAAAGAUUUACAACAAUGCAGGCUGUGGCAGUGGCGCUACGCCUCAAAGGCUUCUUAAAAAAGAAGAAUUGGCCAAGAGCACCCCUGGUACUGAGGCACGUUGCAUAUGGCAGGUUUGUCAUAAAAGAUGUCUGCCUAGGAUAAUGUUCUUUUAUUACUCCUUUUUCGUUUUAUUUGGGACGUCUUUUUUUGCAAUCCCUUUCAUUUGUAAAUGUGCAUACUACUGUAGUAAAUGUAUCUGCCCAGAAAUGCUGGUAUUUUAU